AGUGACUCUGGAGAAACUGAGAGGCUCCCCAGCAGGACCACACUCUUCCUCCUGACCCCACUUUCUACUGAAGUUGCUUUCUCCUUGGAGCAUCAAUCUCCUCAGCAUCACCUGGGAGCUUGCUGGAAAUGCAGAUUGUCAGCCUCUGCCUCAGAUCUACUGAAUUAGAGUUUUUUAUUUGGGCCCUCAGUGUCAAGCAGGACUAGUGUAUGUCCUGGCUUCUUGGGGUGAGGCACACACCACAUCCAGAUUCCUUUGGUGUGAGAUUUCACUGUGGAGCCCAGAGAGAAGCCUGCAAAGGAGAGAUGGGUUCUGUGGCCUACUAUCAGCAGGAAGUGCUAGAGUGCUUGUCGCCCAUUCUCCCUCAAGAUUGAGAAAAUGAACAACCAAAAACAGGGGAUUUGAAACUGCAGAGCCAACCCAAUGUGUUUCAAGUUUGUGAAA